AUUGAACGCUGGCGGCAUGAUUUACACAUGCAAGUCGAACGGUAACAGGCCGCAAGGUGCUGACGAGUGGCGAACGGGUGAGUAAUGCAUCGGAACGUGCCCAGUCGUGGGGGAUAACUACUCGAAAGAGUAGCUAGUACCGCAUACGAUCUAUGGAUGAAAGCGGGGGACCGUAAGGCCUCGCGCGAUUGGAGCGGCCGAUGUCAGAUUAGGUAGUUGGUGGGGUAAAGGCUCACCAAGCCAACGAUCUGUAGCUGGUCUGAGAGGACGACCAGCCACACUGGGACUCAGACACGGCCCAGACUCCUACGGGAGGCAGCAGUGGGGAAUUUUGGACAAUGGGCGCAAGCCUGAUCCAGCAAUGCCGCGUGCAGGAAGAAGGCCUUCGGGUUGUAAACUGCUUUUGUACGGAACGAAACGGCUCCGGUUAAUACCCGGGGCUAAUGACGGUACCGUAAGAAUAAGCACCGGCUAACUACGUG
rnacentral:rRNA from 1 species